rnacentral:misc_RNA from 1 species
AAAAGACAAUAUUGGUGAAAUUUGUGAAGAAAAAGUUCUCUAUUCCAAUAUGUGGAGAAGAGUUCGUGAAAAAGUCAAUAGGGAAAAAAUGGAGGGACUAUAAAUGUGACUUGAAGGCGAUGUAUGUGACCAAAUAUAAGACCAAAGAUGCCUUGAUGAAAAAUAGACCAGCUCACAUACCAAGGGAUCAAUGGAAUAGUCUCGUUUCGUAUUGGCUUUCUGAAAAAGCACAUGUUAGCGCUUCUUAUAUCUGGUUUGUUUUAUUAUUUGGAUGUUAUUAUCUAUAUUUUG